rnacentral:lncRNA from 1 species
CCCGAGAUGGAGUCUUCCUCUAUCACCCAUGGUGGAGUGCAAUGGCGUGAUCUCAACUCACUGCAACCUCUGCCUUCUGGGUUCAAGCAAUUCUCCUGCCUCAGCCUCCCAAGCAGCUGGGAUUACAGGUGCCUGGCACCAAGUCCCGCUCAUUUUGUAUUUUUAGUAGAAAGUGUUUCACCAAGGCUGGGUGCGGUGACUCAUGCCAGUAAUCCCAGCACUUUGGGAGGCAGAGGCGGGCGGAUCACAAGGUCAGAUCAAGAACAUCCUGGCUAACACGGUGAAACCCUGUCUCUACUAAAAAUUCAAAAAAAAAAAAAAAAAAAUUAGCUGGGCGUGGUGGCAGGCGCCUGUAGUCCCAGGUAAUCGGGUGGCUGAGGCAGGAGAAUGGCGUGAACCUGGGAGGUGGAGCUUACAGUGAGCCGAGAUCGUGCCACUGCACUCCAGCCUGGGGGACAGAGUGAGACUCCGUCUCAAAACAAAACAAAACAAAACAAAAAAGCGUUUCAUCAUGUUGGUCAGGCUGGUGUCGAACUCCUGACCUCAGGUGAUCCACCUGCCUCAGCCUCCCAAAGUGCUGGGAUUACAAGUGUGAACCACUGCGCCUGUCAUAUAUUUGUAUUUUUUGUAGACAGAGUUUUGCCGUGUGGCCCAGGCUUAGAUCUUUUAUAUUGAUAAUGUAUCCAUGUGUAGCAAGUUGAUACAGUGAAUGCUUAAACUUGGGUCAUAUACAGAGUGAUAACACUUUCCAAUUUGCCUGCAACAGUUCAGGUGUCUGUUUAGAUAUUUCAGGUUGCUUCUUUCAGUCCCAAACAUGUCCUAGUUUGGAUAAUAAAUUAUGUCUUAGUUUGGACAGUAAGUGAUGGUAUAUAUAAUAAAGUCAUGCUUUGCUUAAGG